UGGUAAAUCAGAAAAACGAAGUAUUGAC
rnacentral:sRNA from 1 species